rnacentral:rRNA from 1 species
GAUGAACGCUGGCGGCGUGCCUAAUACAUGCAAGUCGAGCGAACGGACGAGAAGCUUGCUUCUCUGAUGUUAGCGGCGGACGGGUGAGUAACACGUGGAUAACCUACCUAUAAGACUGGGAUAACUUCGGGAAACCGUAGCUAAUACCGGAUAAUAUUUUGAACCGCAUGGUUCAAAAGUGAAAGACGGUCUUGCUGUCACUUAUAGAUAGAUCCGCGCUGCAUUAGCUAGUUGGUAAGGUAACGGCUUACCAAGGCAACGAUGCAUAGCCGACCUGAGAGGGUGAUCGGCCACACUGGAACUGAGACACGGUCCAGACUCCUACGGGAGGCAGCAGUAGGGAAUCUUCCGCAAUGGGCGAAAGCCUGACGGAGCAACGCCGCGUGAGUGAUGAAGGUCUUCGGAUCGUAAAACUCUGUUAUUAGGGAAGAACAUAUGUGUAAGUAACUGUGCACAUCUUGACGGUACCUAAUCAGAAAGCCACGGCUAACUACGUG